CCCUUAGAUGUUCUGGGCUGCACGCGCGCUACACUGAUGCGCUCAACGAGUUUACGAACUUGCCCGGAAGGGUUGGUUAAUCUUUUUAAAACGCAUCGUGAUGGGGAUAGAUUAUUGCAAUUAUUAAUCUUCAACGAGGAAUUCCUAGUAAGCGCGAGUCAUCAGCUCGCACUGAUUACGUCCCUGCCCUUUGUACACACCGCCCGUCGCACCUACCGAUUGAAUGGUCCGGUGAAAUCCUCGGAUCGAGCCGUGGGGCAACUCCGGUUCGAGAAGUUGAUUAAACCUUACCAUUUAGAGGAAGGUGAAGUCGUAACA
rnacentral:rRNA from 1 species